rnacentral:lncRNA from 1 species
CCCCGCCGUCCAUCACGGGAUGAAACACUCCCUUCAGGGAGAAGGCGGCGCACGUGGACGCCACCACUUGAGCAGCAAUGUAGACGGGGACGUGCCUCCAGGGGAAGUGUCUGACAGAAGCGAAUGCAAUGGUAACGGCAGGGUUGAGGUGGGCCCCCGAGAUGUGCCCCGUCGACAGAAUCACCACCAUAACCGCAAGUCCGGUUGACGCCGCCAGUCCUAUCAAAGAAUCCGACCCCCCUGUUUUCUGGUUGUCACCCCGCCGUCCAUCACGGGAUGAAACACUCCCUUCAGGGAGAAGGCGGCGCACGUGGACGCCACCACUUGAGCAGCAAUGUAGACGGGGACGUGCCUCCAGGGGAAGUGUCUGACAGAAGCGAAUGCAAUGGUAACGGCAGGGUUGAGGUGGGCCCCCGAGAUGUGCCCCGUCGACAGAAUCACCACCAUAACCGCAAGUCCGGUUGACGCCGCCAGUCCUAUCAAAGACUCCGACCCCCCUGUUUUCUGGUUCACGAUUGCCGUUGCUGUUCCGGCGAAUAUCAGGAUCAGAGUGC